rnacentral:sRNA from 1 species
AAAACUGAGACAGAACGGAUUGUU